AGAGUUUGAUCAUGGCUCAGGACGAACGCUGACGGUGUGCUUUAGACAUGCAAGUCGAACGAGAAAGCCCUUCGGGGUGAGUAAAGUGGCGAACGGGUGAGUAACACGUGGGCAAUCUGCCCCUCGCAGGGGGACAACCGGGGGAAACCCCGGCUAAUACCCCGUAAGCUCGAAAGGCCGCAUGGCCCUUCGAGGAAAGGUAGCUUCGGCCAUCCGGCGAGGGAUGAGCCCGCGGUGCAUUAGCUAGUUGGUGGGGUAACGGCCCACCAAGGCGAUGACGGGUAGCUGGUCUGAGAGGACGACCAGCCACACUGGAACUGAGACACGGUCCAGACACCUACGGGUGGCAGCAGUCGAGAAUUUUUCUCAAUGGGGGAAACCCUGAAGGAGCGACGCCGCGUGGAGGAUGAAGGUCUUCGGAUUGUAAACUCCUGUCAUCAGAGAACAAUGGCUGCAUUAACCGUGCAGCUUGAUAGUACCUGAAGAGGAAGAGACGGCUAACUCUGUGCCAGCAGCCGCGGUAAUACAGAGGUCUCAAGCGUUGUUCGGAUUUAUUGGGCGUAAAGGGUGCGUAGGCGGCGGGGUAAGUGAGGUGUGAAAUCCCGGAGCUCAACUCUGGAACUGCACUUUAUACUGCUCUGCUAGAGUCCGGUAGGGGACCACGGAAUUCCUGGUGUAGCGGUGAAAUGCGCAGAUAUCAGGAGGAACACCGGUGGCGAAGGCGGUGGUCUGGGCCGGCACUGACGCUGAGGAGCGAAAGCGUGGGUAGCAAACAGGAUUAGAUACCCCAGUAGUCC
rnacentral:rRNA from 1 species